rnacentral:rRNA from 1 species
UACGUAGGUGGCGAGCGUUGUCCGGAUUUACUGGGCGUAAAGGGCGUGCAGGCGGUUUGUUAAGUGCAGGGUGAAAGCUCCCGGCUCAACUGGGAGAGGUCCUUGCAUACUGGCGAACUCGAGGGAGGCAGAGGAAAGUGGAAUUCCCGGUGUAGUGGUGAUAUGCGUAGAUAUCGGGAGGAACACCUGUGGCGAAGGCGGCUUUCUGGGACGGUACUGACGCUGAGACGCGAAAGCGUGGGGAGCAAACAGG